CUCCUUUUCCCCUAACGUGGCUUUAUGAUUUACAAAGCACUUUUAGGGCAUCGGUUCGGUUCGUUCCAUUUUCAAACAUCUGUGACUUAAAUGUUAUCUCCACUUUGUAGAACUUCAAGCUAAGCCACAGAGAUAGAGAUUUAAGUAAAGGACCCCCAAUCACCGGGCUGUGAGAGAACAGCAACGGUGCACGCGGGCGGAACUUGCCCCGGAUCGGUCUGGCUUCUCCUAUCAGACUUUCCCUAUGGUUUUCCAAAGCUAGAGCAGACUUCCAUUCUUCCUGUGGUGCACCUUGACUGACCACAUC
rnacentral:lncRNA from 1 species